AGCAUGAUGAGAGCGACAAGGGGCUCUUCUCAAACAUGAUGCACGGCGUUGCCGGUGGCCAUGGGUACCCUCACCAGGGAUACCCUCCGCAGGGCUACCCACCACCACAAGGAGCAUACCCACCUCCCCCAGGGGCGUAUCCUCCUCCUCCACCAGGGGCAUACCCACCUCCACCUGGGGCAUACCCACCACAACAUGGGUACCCUCAGCCAGGUGGCUACCCACCGCAAGGUGGAUAUCCUCCUGCAGGCUACCCAGGCUCAUCUCACCAGGGUAUGAUACUACAGUUAAUAUACUACAGAGGAGUUUAGAGAUUGUUUUGGUUUGCUCUGUUGUAUUGCUUUUUAUUGUUCAGAUUCAGAACUCGUACACCUUAACUAACAUUUGUAUCCUGAUCAUGUUGGAAAUUGGUAGUAGUUCUAUUUUGUUGAUUCAGUCAAAUGACAAUAGAUAGCUAAGCAUUCCUUUCACAAAAGAAGUGGUCAUGAGAAUAGCUAAUUCGUCCAACUCUAGCAAAUACUCAUUUUCUAUUUACAAAUUAUUGAAACACUUUAUAUACUACACUCAGGUGUUGAGAUUGUUUUGGAUUGCUUUGUUGUAUUGUUAUAUACAUUUUAUUUUUCAGAUUUAAAACUGUACUACCUCAUACAGCUGCACUAACAUUUAUAUAUACAUUUUAUUGUUGUAAUGUUGGAAAUUGGUAUUUCUGUUCUGCUGAUCCAGUCAAACGUUGAAUCUCAGUUCAUGCUAAUGUCUCUUGUGAUUUCAGGUUAUGGGAGCAGCCAUGGCGGGAGCCACAUGGGGAUGGGGACAGUUCUAGCUGGAGGUGCUGCCGCCGCCGCAGCUGCUUAUGGAGCACACAAGCUUUCUCAUGGCCAUAGCGGACACGGUGGACAUGGUGUCUUUGGAGGAGGCUAUGGUCAUGGUGGCUACGGCCACGGCUACGGCGGCCACGGCAAGUUCAAGCAUGGUCACGGCGGCCACGGCAAGUUCAAGCACGGUCACGGCAAGUUCAAGCAUGGCAAGCACGGGCACGGCAUGUUCGGCGGCAAGUUCAAGAAGUG
rnacentral:lncRNA from 1 species